GAGUUUGGUGGCAGAGCCUCUGCUUUGCAUGCAGAAGCUCCCGGGUUCAAUUCCUGGCAUUAUCA